AUUGAACGCUGGCGGCAGGCCUAACACAUGCAAGUCGAACAGUGGCGGACGGGUGAGUAACGCGUAGGGAACUACCUAUUAGAGGGGGAUAACUAGUGGAAACGAUAGCUAAUACAGAAUACUAGUAGAUGGACCUGCGUUGUAUUAGCUAGUAGGUAGGGUAAUGGCCUACCUAGGCAACGAUACAUAGCCGACCUGAGAUGGUGAUCGGCCACACUUGGACUGGGGCACGGCCCAGACUCCUACGGGGUGCAGCCGUAGGGAAUCUUCGGCAAUGGGGGGAACCCUGACCGAGCCACGCCGCGUGGUUUAAGAAGGUUUUCGGAUCGUAAAGCUCUGUUGUUCAGGAAGCGGUACUUAACCAGAAAGGGCCGGCUAACUACGUGCCAGCAGCCGCGGUAAUAC
rnacentral:rRNA from 1 species